rnacentral:rRNA from 1 species
AACGAACGCUGGCGGCAGGCCUAACACAUGCGAGUCGAACGCUCUAGCAAUAGAGAGUGGCAGACGGGUGAGUAACGCGUGGGAACCUUCCCAAUGGUGCAGAAUAGCCCAGGGAAACUUGGGGUAAUACUGCGUAAGCCCUUCGGGGGAACGAUUUAUCGCCAUUGGAUGGGCCCGCGUCGGAUUAGCUAGUUGGUGAGGUAAUGGCUCACCAAGGCAACGAUCCGUAGCUGGUUUGAGAGAAUGACCAGCCACACUGGGACUGAGACACGGCCCAGACUCCUACGGGAGGCAGCAGUGGGGAAUCUUGGACAAUGGGCGCAAGCCUGAUCCAGCCAUGCCGCGUGAGUGACGAAGGCCUUAGGGUUGUAAAGCUCUUUUGCCGGGGACGAUAAUGACGGUACCCGGAGAGUAAGUCCCGGCUAACUUCGUGCCAGCAGCCGCCGUAA